rnacentral:rRNA from 1 species
UACAGAGGUCUCAAGCGUUGUUCGGAAUCAUUGGGCGUAAAGGGUGCGUAGGCGGCGUGGAAUGUCAGAUGUGAAAUCCGGUGGCUCAACCUCCGAAUUGCAUCCGAAACCUCCAUGCUUGAGAGUUGUAGAGGAGUCUGGAAUUCUCGGUGUAGCAGUGAAAUGCGUAGAUAUCGAGAAGAACGCUCGUGGCGAAGGCGAGGCUCUGGGCAAUUUCUGACGCUGAUGCACGAAGGCUAGGGGAGCAAACGGG